AUGCGAUAAGUAAUGUGAAUUGCAGAAUUCAGUGAAUCAUCGAAUCUUUGAACGCACCUUGCGCCCCUUGGUAUUCCGAGGGGCAUGCCUGUUUGAGUGUCA
rnacentral:rRNA from 1 species